rnacentral:hammerhead_ribozyme from 1 species
AAUCGAAACGCUCUUAGAGCGUCUGGCUAGGAUGGUCUCUAGCUACUGAUGAGAUAGACCACG